AACGAACGCUGGCGGCAUGCCUAACACAUGCAAGUCGAACGAGACCUUCGGGUCUAUUGGCGCACGGGUGCGUAACGCGUGGGAACCUGCCCUUAGGUUCGGAAUACCUCCCCGAAAGGGGUGCUAAUACCGGAUAAUGUCUUCGGACCAAAGAUUUAUGGCCUUUGGAUGGGCCCGCGUUUGAUUAGCUAGUUGGUAGGGUAAAAGCCUACUAAGGCGACGAUCCAUAGCUGGUUUGAGAGGAUGAUCAGCCACGCUGGGACUAAGACACGGCCCAGACUCGUACGGGAGGCAGCAGAGGGGAAUAUUGGACAAUGGGCGAAAGCGUGAUCAAGCAAUGCCGGGUGAGUGAUGAAGGCCGUAGGGUUGUAAAGCUCUUUUACCCGGGAUGAUAAUGACAGUACCGGGAGAAUAAGCUCCGGCUAACUCCGUG
rnacentral:rRNA from 1 species